rnacentral:ncRNA from 1 species
GAACUGAAGAGUUUGAUCCUGGCUCAGAUUGAACGCUGGCGGCAUGCUUUACACAUGCAAGUCGAACGGCAGCACGGGGGCAACCCUGGUGGCGAGUGGCGAACGGGUGAGUAAUACAUCGGAACGUAUCCUUGAGUGGGGGAUAACGCAGCGAAAGUUGUGCUAAUACCGCAUGAGCUCUGAGGAGGAAAGUGGGGGACCGUAAGGCCUCACGCUGAAGGGGCGGCCGAUGUCCGAUUAGCUAGUUGGUGAGGUAAAGGCUCACCAAGGCUGCGAUCGGUAGCUGGUCUGAGAGGAUGAUCAGCCACACUGGGACUGAGACACGGCCCAGACUCCUACGGGAGGCAGCAGUGGGGAAUUUUGG